GGAAUUUUUAUGUAACGCAGAAUCACACGGAUGAAAUACGGUAAACUGCUGCUGUCUGAACACUCUGUACCACGAACCACAGUUGCAUUUAACCGACGAAUGAAUGAAAAUUCUUUUCAACUUCAUCUUAAGGAAACGAAACUUUCGGCUUGCUGGACGAUUCCGAUUCUGUUUUAUUAGCUCUGUUAGAGCGAAGCACCGCGCCUGG